rnacentral:rRNA from 1 species
GAUGAACGCUGGCGGCGUGCCUAAUACAUGCAAGUCGAGCGAACAGACGAGGAGCUUGCUCCUCUGACGUUAGCGGCGGACGGGUGAGUAACACGUGGAUAACCUACCUAUAAGACUGGGAUAACUUCGGGAAACCGGAGCUAAUACCGGAUAAUAUAUUGAACCGCAUGGUUCAAUAGUGAAAGACGGUUUUGCUGUCACUUAUAGAUGGAUCCGCGCCGCAUUAGCUAGUUGGUAAGGUAACGGCUUACCAAGGCAACGAUGCGUAGCCGACCUGAGAGGGUGGUCGGCCACCCUGGAACUGAGACACGGUCCAGACUCCUACGGGAGGCAGCAGUAGGGAUUCUUCCGCAAUGGGCGAAAGCCUGACGGAGCAACGCCGCGUGAGUGAUGAAGGUCUUCGGAUCGUAAAACUCUGUUAUUAGGGAAGAACAAAUGUGUAAGUAACUAUGCACGUCUUGACGGUACCUAAUCAGAAAGCCACGGCUAACUACGUG